rnacentral:sRNA from 1 species
CUCUGUUUUCAGGGUUAUUAAAUGAAACAUCCAGUUGUAAAGUAAAACCCUUAGUAUUGCUUCAUUGUUAUUCUCAGUGUUUCCCUUGGCUUCAUAGAUACAUUAAAUAAUUCAAGCUUUCAGCGCAUCGCACUUUUGGCGAUUAAUUUUUUAUUUUUAUAUAAGGGACACAUCAUGUCUAACAAAACAAACGGCGUAGUAAAAUGGUUUAACGAAGAGAAAGGCUUCGGUUUCCUAACUCAAGACAACGGCGGCGCUGACGUAUUCGUACACUUCCGUGCAAUCGCUUCUGAAGGUUUCAAGACUCUUAAAGAAGGCCAACAAGUGUCUUUCGAAGUAGAGCAAGGCCAAAAAGGUCUUCAAGCUGCAAACGUUGUAGCUCUAUAAGAUUUUAAGUCGGCGCAGGUUGCAUUAGCAACUUGCGUCACU